rnacentral:rRNA from 1 species
UGAGACACGGCCCAGACUCCUACGGGAGGCAGCAGUGGGGAAUAUUGCACAAUGGGGGAAACCCUGAUGCAGCGACGCCGCGUGGAGGAAGAAGGUCUUCGGAUUGUAAACUCCUGUUGUUGAGGAAGAUAAUGACGGUACUCAACAAGGAAGUGACGGCUAACUACGUGCCAGCAGCCGCGGUAAAACGUAGGUCACAAGCGUUGUCCGGAAUUACUGGGUGUAAAGGGAGCGCAGGCGGGAAGACAAGUUGGAAGUGAAAUCCAUGGGCUCAACCCAUGAACUGCUUUCAAAACUGUUUUUCUUGAGUAGUGCAGAGGUAGGCGGAAUUCCCGGUGUAGCGGUGGAAUGCGUAGAUAUCGGGAGGAACACCAGUGGCGAAGGCGGCCUACUGGGCACCAACUGACGCUGAGGCUCGAAAGUGUGGGUAGCAAACAGGAUUAGAUACCCUGGUAGUCCACACCGUAAACGAUGAUUACUAGGUGUUGGAGGAUUGACCCCUUCAGUGCCGCAGUUAACACAAUAAGUAAUCCACCUGGGGAGUACGACCGCAAGGUUGAAACUCAAAGGAAUUGACGGGGGCCCGCACAAGCAGUGGAGUAUGUGGUUUAAUUCGACGCAACGCGAAGAACCUUACCAAGUCUUGACAUCCUGCGACGCACAUAGAAAUAUGUGUUUCCUUCGGGACGCAGAGACAGGUGGUGCAUGGUUGUCGUCAGCUCGUGUCGUGAGAUGUUGGGUUAAGU